rnacentral:rRNA from 1 species
UACGUAGGGAGCAAGCGUUGUUCGGAUUUACUGGGCGUAAAGGGCGCGUAGGCGGCGUGUCAAGUCGAUUGUGAAAUCUCCGGGCUUAACUCGGAACGGCCAAUCGAUACUGACGUGCUAGAGUGCAGAAAGGGCAAUCGGAAUUCUUGGUGUAGCGGUGAAAUGUGUAGAGAUCGGGAGGAACACCGGUGGCGAAGGCGGGUCUCUGGGCAAUUCCUGACGCUGAGGCGCGAAAGCGUGGGGAGCAAACGGG